rnacentral:rRNA from 1 species
UACAGAGGGUGCAAGCGUUAAUCGGAAUUACUGGGCGUAAAGCGUGUGUAGGUGGUUUUCUAAGUCAGGUGUGAAAUCCCUGGGCUCAACCUAGGGAUUGCAUUUGAUACUGGAAGACUCGAGUGUGGUAGAGGAUGGUGGAAUUCCCGGUGUAGCGGUGAAAUGCGUAGAUAUCGGGGAGGAACAUCAGUGGCGAAGGCGGCCAUCUGGACUAACACUGACACUGAGACACGAAAGCGUGGGGAGCAAACAGG